rnacentral:lncRNA from 1 species
AAUUUUGCAAGCACUUUUACAACUAGAUCAUGAAGUGGGUCUCUGAAAUUAUGCACCUUAUCUUUCUCAAAAAGAGGAACCAAAAAAAAAGAAAAGGAAGAAAAAGACUCUUAGAAUCUAUUGGGAGAGGAGUGAGUGGGGUUCCUUAUACCUACUAAAAAGAAAAUAUGUAUAAUUCUUGUGCCAUUGGAAAACUAGGGUUGUUGAAUAAUAUAGUAGUACAAAAUAUGUUACAAAUAUCUAAUACAAGAAAAAAAAAAACCUAUC